rnacentral:rRNA from 1 species
UAAUACGUAGGUGGCAAGCGUUGUCCGGAUUUACUGGGCGUAAAGAGCGCGCAGGCGGUCGAUUAAGUCGGAUGUGAAAUCCCCUGGCUCAACUGGGGGGCGUCAUUCGAUACUGCUCGACUUGAAGGCAGGAGAGGGAAGCGGAAUUCCCGGUGUAGUGGUGAAAUGCGUAGAUAUCGGGAGGAACACCAGUGGCGAAGGCGGCUUCCUGGCCUGUUCUUGACGCUGAGGCGCGAAAGCCAGGGGAGCAAAC